rnacentral:rRNA from 1 species
UACAGAGGUCCCAAGCGUUGUUCGGAUUCACUGGGCGUAAAGGGUGCGUAGGCGGUCGGGUAAGUCUGAUGUGAAAUCUCACAGCUUAACUGUGAAACUGCAUUGGAUACUAUCCGGCUCGAGGAAUGGAGGGAAGACUGGAAUACUUGGUGUAGCAGUGAAAUGCGUAGAUAUCGAGAGGAACACCAGUGGCGAAGGCGAGUCCCUGGACAGGUCCUGACGCUGAGGCACGAAAGCUAGGGGAGCAAACAGG